AGCAGGAGGAGCGUGCCAAGCAGCAGGGAGAUCAUUCGCUGAAGGAACAUGAGCUCUUGGAGCAGCAGAAGCGGGUAAUACCCCUCCCCCUAACCUUUGACCUCGUGGUCCAGUCCGUUGGCUGUCAUUUAUAGUGCUUAGAGUGCACCAUUCAAGUUUUCCCUGGAGGCUACUUUGUUCUCAACUAAGUUCUAGUAUCUUCCAAAGCUUUCAAUUUUUCUUGAAGUUCAGGAAUUGACAAACUAUGACCUGUGGCCUGCAUGUGUAUGGCCUGUGAGCUAAAAAUAACUUUAAAAUUUUUUAAGGGUUAUAAGAAAACCCAAACCAAA
rnacentral:sRNA from 1 species